rnacentral:lncRNA from 1 species
UUUGAGCAUGGUGUAUGGGUUGCUUCUACUGCUUUGGGAAAAGUCUAACAUGGAUAUGGUUCAUGUGGAGCUGAUGCACAUCGACCGAGCUAUAGGCGCGUUCAGCGUGAUCAGAUCACAUACCGGUGCUAGAGGACACGAGUGGGCCUCUUCUUACAUGCAUCUUCCUAGAUGUAGCCACGUGAGUCUAUGUGGUACGGUUGCGGGUACUGUGGCCUGUUUAGUUGCGAUUUUUUUAUUUAUUUUGGCUACCGUAGUAUUUUUUUUUUAUUUGAUAAAUAUUAUUCAAUUAUAAAAUAACUAGACUUAAAAUAUUCAUAUCGUAAUUUAAAGGUAAAUUGUGCAAUUAGUUUUUAUUUUCGUCUAUAUUUAAUGCUCUAUGCAUGUGCCAUAAGAUUUGAUGUGACUGAGAAUCUUAAUUUUUUUUAAAAUUUUGGGGUAAACUAAACAAGGCUUGUGUACUAGGCCUUGUUUAGUUGAGGAGGUGAAAAUUGUUUGGGUACUGUAAUACUUUCGUUUUUAUUUGGUAAUUAUUGUCCAACCAUUCUCUAACUAGGUUUAAAAAAUUCGUCUUACAAAUUACAGGUAAAUUAUGCAAUUAGCUAUUUCUUUUAUCUAUAAUUAACGUUCCAUACAUGUGUCGCAAAAAUUUGAUAUGAUGGAAAAUCUUAAAAAGUUAUUGGGUUUAGUGUGAACUAAACAAGGCCUUAAAAAAAAGAGCGUGACAGUAAUGGGCCACCUCAAGUCUUGCAUCAAGAUGGGCGUAGUACGGGCACUGGACUACUGGAGUGGUGAAAGGGAAAGGGUUGAUAAGCAAGACCAACGUGCGAAGUGUGACUAGUGUGGCUUGUUGCGAGUUCGUGACGACCGUGGUGUGGCACUAGUAGUAGAUACAUGUGACGACUACGGCGAAGGCCAAGGCCUUGUUUUUUCAAGAUUCCCUAUUACAUCAAAUUUUUAGACGCAUGUAUAAAGUAUUAAAUAUAAACAAAAAUAAAAACUAAUUGUACAGUUUGGUCAAAAUUUACGAGAUGAAUCUUUUGAGCCUAAUUAGUCUAUGGUUAGACAAUAAUUAUCACAAAUAAACGAAAAUGAUACAGUGUCGCGAAUUUUUUCCUUCGUCAACUAAACACGGCCCAAAGUGAUGUAUCUAGGCCUUGUUUACUUCCACCCAAAAAUCCAAUUUUUUUCAAAAUUCCCC